GUGCGCCUACGGGGGGCAGCAGUGAGGAAUAUUGGUCAAUGGUCGGGAGACUGAACCAGCCAAGCCGCGUGAGGGAGGAAGGUACAGAGUAUCGUAAACCUCUUUUGUCAGGGAACAAAGACUGGGACGCGUCCCCGGAUGAGUGUACCUGAAGAAAAGGCAUCGGCUAACUCCGUGCCAGCAGCCGCGGUAAUACGGAGGGUGCGAGCGUUAUCCGGAUUUAUUGGGUUUAAAGGGUGCGCAGGCGGUCUGUUAAGCCAGCGGCCAAAGCCCGGGGCUCAACCCCGGCCCGCCGUUGAAACUGG
rnacentral:rRNA from 1 species